rnacentral:rRNA from 1 species
UACAGAGGUCCCAAGCGUUGUUCGGAUUCACUGGGCGUAAAGGGUGCGUAGGCGGUCGGGUAAGUCUGAUGUGAAAUCUUCAAGCUUAACUUGGAAACUGCAUCGGAUACUAUUCGGCUAGAGGAAUGGAGGGGAGACUGGAAUACUUGGUGUAGCAGUGAAAUGCGUAGAUAUCAAGUGGAACACCAGUGGCGAAGGCGAGUCUCUGGACAUUUCCUGACGCUGAGGCACGAAAGCCAGGGGAGCAAACGGGAUUAGAUACCCCGGUAGUCCUGGCCCUAAACGGUGCGCAUUUGCUGUAAGAGGAAUCGACCCCUUUUGUGGCGAAGCUAACGCGAUAAAUGCGCCGCCUGGGAAGUACGGCCGCAAGGUUAAA